UGGCUCAGAACGAACGCUGGCGGCGUGCUUAACACAUGCAAGUCGAGCGAUGAAGCACCUUCGGGUGUGGAUUAGCGGCGAACGGGUGAGGAACACGUGAGGAAUCUGCCUUCCACUCUGGGAUAACUCCGGGAAACCGGGGCUAAUACCGGAUACUUUCAACUGGCGGCAUCGCCGGUUGAAGAAAGUUUUUCGGUGGAAGAUGACCUCGCGGCCUAUCAGCUUGUUGGUGAGGUAAUGGCUCACCGGGAAAACGACGGGUAGCCGGCCUGAGAGGGCGACCGGCCACA
rnacentral:rRNA from 1 species